ACCCCAGACUCCUACGGGAGGCAGCAGUGGGGAAUAUUGCACAAUGGGGGAAACCCUGAUGCAGCAACGCCGCGUGAGUGAAGAAGCCAUUCGUGAUGUAAAGCUCUAUCAGCAGGGAAGAAAAUGACGGUACCUGAGUAAGAAGCCCCGGCUAACUACGUGCCAGCAGCCGCGGUAAUACGUAGGGGGCGAGCGUUAUCCGGAUUCACUGGGUGUAAAGGGAGCGUAGACGGCCAUGCAAGCCAGGGGUGAAAUCCCCGCGCUCAACGUGGGAACUGCCUUUGAAACUGGCAAACUGGAGUGUGUGAGAGGAUAGUGGAAUUCCAGGUGUAGGAGUGAAAUCCGUAGAUAUCUGGAGGAACAUCAGUGGCGAAGGCGACUAUCUGGCACAUAACUGACGCUGAGGAGCGAAAGCGUGGGUAGCAAACAGGAUUAGAUACCCUCGUA
rnacentral:rRNA from 1 species